AUCAUUUAGUCAUCAGAGUGUAAAUCAAGAGCUGUUCUUUACAAGCAUAAGAAGACCGGUGCCGAAAUCAUGUCAGUCUCCAAUGACGAUGAGAAUAAGGUCUUUGGUAUUGUUUUUCGCACUCCUCCGAAAGAUUCCACUGGAAUUCCUCACAUAUUGGAACACAGCGUAUUGUGUGGUUCAAGAAAGUAUCCUUUGAAAGAACCGUUCGUUGAACUCUUGAAAGGGAGCUUGAACACAUUUCUGAAUGCAUUCACCUACCCUGACAGGACUUGCUAUCCAGUUGCUUCCACAAAUUCAAAGGAUUUCUAUAACUUGGUAGAUGUAUACCUGGAUGCUGUCUUUUUCCCUAAAUGUGUAGAGGACUUCCAGACUUUUCAACAAGAGGGUUGGCAUUAUGAGUUAAACAACCCUUCAGAGGACAUAACUUAUAAAGGGGUUGUUUUUAAUGAGAUGAAAGGUGUAUACUCCCAGCCUGAUAACAUACUGGGCCGGGCAUCACAACAGGCUAUUUUUCCAGACAAUACAUAUGGUGUUGAUAGUGGGGGUGAUCCACUAGUUAUUCCCAAGCUCACAUUUGAGGAAUUCAAGGAGUUUCACCGUAGAUAUUACCAUCCCAGCAAUGCAAGGAUUUGGUUUUAUGGUGAUGAUGACCCCAAUGAACGUCUUCGCAUUUUGAGUGAGUAUCUAGAUAUGUUUGAUGCAAGUUCUGCUCCCAGCGAAUCUAGAAUUGAGCCACAGAAAUUAUUUUCAGAACCAGUCAGGAUUGUUGAGAAAUAUCCUGCUGCUGAAGGUGGUGACUUGAAAAAAAAGCACAUGGUUUGCCUUAAUUGGUUGCUCCAUGAUAAGCCUCUAGACUUGGAAACUGAGCUAGCACUGGGGUUUUUGGAUCAUCUAAUGUUGGGUACACCUGCAUCUCCUUUGAGAAAAAUCCUGCUGGAAAGUGGUUUAGGAGAGGCCAUUGUUGGGGGUGGGGUUGAAGAUGAACUUCUUCAGCCCCAGUUUAGUAUUGGAUUGAAGGGUGUCUCUGAAGAUAACAUUCCAAAGGUAGAAGAAUUGAUCGUGAAUAUGCUUAAAAAUUUAGCAGAGGAAGGAUUUGAUUCAGAUGCCGUGGAGGCAUCCAUGAAUACAAUUGAGUUCUCUCUUAGAGAAAACAAUACUGGGUCGUUCCCUCGUGGCUUAGCCUUGAUGCUUCGCUCCAUUGGAAAAUGGGUAUAUGAUAUGGAUCCAUUUCAACCAUUAAAAUAUCAGAAACCCCUGAUGGAACUGAAAGCCAGAAUAGCUGAGGAAGGCUCCAAAUCUGUUUUUGCUCCUUUAAUAGAGAAAUUCAUUUUAAAUAAUCCUCACCGUGUAACCGUAGAAAUGCAGCCUGAUCCAGAGAAGGCUUCUCGAGAUGAAGCGGCUGAGAAAGAAAUUUUAAGUAAAAUUAAAGCCAGUAUGACUGAAGAAGAUCUUGCUGAGCUGGCACGUGCCACACAUGAGUUACGAUUGAAACAGGAAACUCCUGAUCCACCAGAAGCUUUGAAAACUGUACCAAGCCUCUCUUUAAAUGAUAUUCCAAAAAAACCCAUAUUUGUUCCCACAGAGGUUAGGGAUAUAAAUGGGGUGAAGAUUUUGCAGCAUGACCUCUUCACCAAUGAUGUGCUGUACACUGAAGUUGUCUUCAAUAUGAGCUCACUGAAGCAAGAGCUUCUUCCUCUUGUACCACUUUUUUGUCAAUCAUUGCUGGAGAUGGGCACAAAAGACAUGGAUUUUGUGCAACUUAAUCAGUUAAUUGGAAGGAAAACUGGAGGAAUAUCAGUAUAUCCUUUCACGUCAUCAGUACGGGGGAAGGAAGAUCCGUGUAGCCAUAUAAUUGUUCGGGGAAAAGCCAUGUCAGGACGCACUGAUGAUUUGUUUAACUUGGUCAACCGCAUUCUUCAAGAUGUUCAAUUUACAGACCAGAAGCGGUUUAAGCAGUUUGUUUCCCAAAGCAAGGCUAGAAUGGAGAACCGAUUAAGAGGCAGUGGUCAUGGUAUUGCAGCCACAAGGAUGGAUGCAAAGUUAAAUGUUGCAGGGUGGAUUUCUGAACAAAUGGGUGGCGCUAGUUACCUGGAAUUUCUACAAGCUCUUGAAAAGAGAGUUGACGAGGACUGGGAUGGAAUCUCUUUGUCUCUUGAGGAGAUCCGCAGGUCCUUAAUUUCAAGGAAAGGUUGCUUAGUAAAUUUGACUGCUGAUGGAAAAAAUCUUAUGGACUCGGAGAAAUAUGUUAGCAAAUUUCUUGACUUGCUUCCAAGCACUUCCACUGUUGAAUCAGUUACUUGGAACGCUCGACUUCCUUCAAUAAAUGAAGCCAUUGUGGUACCCACUCAGGUCAAUUAUGUUGGAAAAGCGGCUAACAUCUACGAGACUGGUUAUGAACUUGAUGGGAGUGCAUAUGUUAUUUCUAAGUACAUUAGUAACACAUGGUUGUGGGAUCGUGUACGUGUUAGUGGUGGGGCUUAUGGAGGCUUCUGUGAUUUUGACACUCACUCAGGGGUCUUCUCAUUCUUAUCUUAUCGAGACCCCAAUUUGUUGAAGACACUUGAUGUAUAUGAUGCAACUAGUGAUUUUCUGCGUGAAUUGGAAAUGGAUGAUGAUACUCUUACAAAAGCAAUUAUUGGGACCAUUGGAGAUGUGGAUUCAUAUCAGUUACCAGAUGCCAAAGGAUAUAGUAGUUUGUUACGGUACCUACUUGGAGUCACAGAUGAAGAAAGGGAAAGGAGACGUGAAGAGAUAUUAUCAACCAGCUUGAAUGACUUCAAGGAAUUUGCGGGUGCACUUGAGGCAGUUAAAGAUAAAGGGGUUGUGGUUGCGGUGGCAUCUCCAGAUGAUGUUGAUGCUGCAAACAAGGAACAUUCUAACUUCCUUAACGUGAAAAAAGCCCUUUAAGUCCUCCCAUAGAAUUCCAUGAAGAUAAUCAAAUCUCAUCCUCCUCUUUUCCCAGACAAGGAAAACAUUUUUGCAGCAUGAAUGUAAUUUUUAUGUCCUUGAGUUACAGGGCUAGGCUCCCAUUUUAUUUCAACCGUAAAUGGAAGAGUGAAAACAUGUUGCAGUUUUCCUUUCCCCUUGUACUAACCAAUGUACUCUGGAUCUCACAAAUUAUCACUACAGUUUUAUUUUACAUCUUGCUUUUUUUCAUUGUAAUCUAAGUCAUAUACUAUUGUAAUUUUUUGGAUCCAAGUGCUUAAAAAAUUGGGUUAUAUUUCACCA